AGACUUUGAUCCUGGCUCAGGACGAACGCUGGCGGCAUGCCUAACACAUGCAAGUCGAACGGACUUUUUUAUGGAAUUUCCUUCGGGAAGGGAAAUAUGAAAGUUAGUGGCGGACGGGUGAGUAACGCGUGGAUAACCUGCCCAUAGGUUGGGGACAACUCCGGGAAACCGGAGCUAAUACCGAAUAAUAUUGCUUAUUCGCAUGAGUAAGUAAUCAAAGGGGGCCUCUCGAAGAAGCUUCUGUCUAUGGAUGGAUCCGCGUCUGAUUAGCUAGUUGGUAGGGUAGAGGCCUACCAAGGCAACGAUCAGUAGCCGGCCUGAGAGGGUGAACGGCCACACUGGGACUGAGACACGGCCCAGACUCCUACGGGAGGCAGCAGUGGGGAAUCUUCCGCAAUGGGCGAAAGCCUGACGGAGCAAUGCCGCGUGAAUGAAGAAGGCCUUCGGGUUGUAAAGUUCUGUUAAGAAGGAAGAAAGGUAUUGAGGAUAAUACCCUUAGUAUUUGACGGUACUUUUUGAGGAAGCCCCGGCGUAA
rnacentral:rRNA from 1 species